rnacentral:rRNA from 1 species
UAAAUAGCCCCACUCACUUUUGUGGGUGGCUGGCUUCUUAGAGGGACUUUUGGCUCAAGCCAAUGGAAGUACGAGGCAAAAACAGGUCUGUGAUGCCCUUAGAUGUUCUGGGCCG